GGGGUUGAGGCUCAGAGGGUAGAGUACUCACUUAGCAUGUGUAAGGCCCUGGGUUCGAUCCUCAGCACCACA
rnacentral:tRNA from 1 species